UGGGGAAUUUUGGACAAUGGGGGAAACCCUGAUCCAGCCAUCCCGCGUGUGCGAUGAAGGCCUUCGGGUUGUAAAGCACUUUUGGCAGGAAAGAAACGUCGCGGGUUAAUACCCCGCGAAACUGACGGUACCUGCAGAAUAAGCACCGGCUAACUACGUGCCAGCAGCCGCGGUAAUACGUAGGGUGCAAGCGUUAAUCGGAAUUACUGGGCGUAAAGCGUGCGCAGGCGGUUCGGAAAGAAAGAUGUGAAAUCCCAGAGCUUAACUUUGGAACUGCAUUUUUAACUACCGGGCUAGAGUGUGUCAGAGGGAGGUGGAAUUCCGCGUGUAGCAGUGAAAUGCGUAGAUAUGCGGAGGAACACCGAUGGCGAAGGCAGCCUCCUGGGAUAACACUGACGCUCAUGCACGAAAGCGUGGGGAGCAAACAGGAUUAGAUACCCUGGUAGUCCACGCCCUAAACGAUGUCAACUAGCUGUUGGGGCCUUCGGGCCUUGGUAGCGCAGCUAACGCGUGAAGUUGACCGCCUGGGGAGUNCGGUCGCAAGAUUAAAACUUAAAGGAAUUG
rnacentral:rRNA from 1 species